rnacentral:lncRNA from 1 species
GCAUUAAACCUCUUACUUUUAUAAGACAAGCUUCUUUCUAUAAAUUGGCUGACGAUAUGAUUCUUCAUCCUGAUACCUUAUGGGCCAGAGUAACACCUACUAAGUAUCGGUUUUCAGGAUGGGUUAGUCCCCCUAGAAGCUCCGCUAUCUAGAACAAACUAUGUGGCUUUGGAACCAAAAUUCAGUAGAACUUCCGAUGGUACGUUGAGAAUGGUUCCUCUAUUAAUGUUUUCUCUCGUGCUUGGUUUUCUAUGGUUCCCCUGUGUGCUUGGCAGACCUAUUUAAAUAUGGACUGUAUCAAUGAGGAUAUGAAAGUUUCUGAUCUUUUAUUGCUUGACAAAACUUGGAAUGUGGAAUUAAUUGUUGCUAUAUUUUCGGCUG